rnacentral:rRNA from 1 species
UAAUACGUAGGUGGCAAGCGUUGUCCGGAAUUAUUGGGCGUAAAGCGCGCGCAGGCGGUCCUUUAAGUCUGAUGUGAAAUCUUGCGGCUCAACCGCAAGCGGCCAUUGGAAACUGGGGGACUUGAGUGCAGGAGAGGGAAGUGGAAUUCCACGUGUAGCGGUGAAAUGCGUAGAGAUGUGGAGGAACACCAGUGGCGAAGGCGGCUUCCUGGCCUGUAACUGACGCUGAGGCGCGAAAGCGUGGGGAGCAAACAGG